CCGGGUGUGGCGAAGUUUGGUAUCGCGCCUGAAUGGGGUUCAGGAGGCCGCUGGUUCAAGUCCAGUCACUCGGACCA
rnacentral:tRNA from 6 species